UGAAAGAGCCGUAACCCAAACCUGUCCUCUCCCACUCUGACGGAUUCACAUCAGCUGAAAGCAUGAUGCCUCUUUUUCCACCUGCAAUCUGUCUAAUAAUCACCGACAGCCGGUAAAUGAGCCCUGCAGGGACCUUUGGGUGCCCGUAUAUAACGAGGAGGCCUGGAGAAACUUUUAGUCUCGUGCAAGGAUGAGACAGAGCGGAGCGGAGCUUCAGCACUGGCUGCAGCAGGGUGCCACACCCGGUGGAUGCUGCCCAAACAAGCUGUGUGAGGGAAGGAGACAUGUUGACUGGACCAGCGGACUGAAGAAGUACCAACAAGAAAGUCAGUUCUCCUCCACAGCAGUUCAUCCAGCUGGAGACCACGCAUAGACUAUUUGUCUCAUCUUUGUUGCGAAUACAGGAAGAUUCUUCACUGAUGGGUACUUUUUGAGACUUUUGCAACACAAACAUGAUUCUUGUCUUUUUAUGACUAAAACAGUCGUGUGCAAUAUGAGGGUAUUGGAUCAUCUCGAUAAGGUAAGAGUCAGACCAUCAUUGGGUGUUUAAAAAAAUACACAGGCCUUUGCAAUAUGUGGCAAUAUCCUGAUCCUGGUAUUUGUAUGCAAUCCUUUUCAAAGGCGAACAAUCAAGCUAGCCCUUGUUAUUAUAAUAGGUUUGUGUAGAUUAAAUGUGUAUUUUCUUGAGUAUAGCUUUCGCGGCUCUAAUGCUCAUCAGACAACUCCACAUUUCAUGAUGUAAAGAUUUGAAGAUGUAAUUCAUGUAAACAAUGAGGUUUUUUUAUCCUUCACUGCUGCAUGGUUUAUAAUGGGGAAAAUAGUUAUUGAAGGAUGUGGGUAAUAAUUUUCUUUGCGACUGUAAGAGAGCAACUAUAUCAUAUGAGGAGCAACUUAACCACAAGGCAUGUCGAAGUGUCCUCGAGCAAGACGGUUGCUGCCCGGGCGCUUCACUGCAGCCCACUGCUCCUCAAUAACUAAGGAUGGGUUCAAUGCAGAGAAUAAUUUCCCCAAUAAAGGGAUCAAUAAAGGAUACACUAUUAUUAAUAUUAUUAUUUGUAUUAAUGCAGCAAUACCAUGAUAUAUCUAUUCUCUCUCUCUCUCUCUCUCACCCUCUAGCUUUUUACUCUAUUGAUCUCUCCCGGAAAUGGGAAGAUGAGCCCUGCUUUGGGACCCAUUUGGAGCAUCUCAAAAAUCACUUAGCACAUCAUUCCCUACAGCCAGAAUCAAUCUGAGCAGCAGACCUGCUCCUCCACCAGCAUGAGGGAGGCUAGACAUGUCCCAAUAGCUAACGAUAAUCCUAUCCUAAGACUUUCAGAAAGAUAUAGACACAGGCUCACGUCUGUGAAGAUGUUCAGGAGGAAGCUGGGUGACUAAGCACCACCGCAGACCGGUGUGCCUCCUGUAGCAGAUGUCACGGCUGGAUUUACCGUCCAUCCUGUGUGGUCCACGAAACAGAGAUGAGGGGAGGUACAUCUUUAAAUCUGUCUGAUCAUUUCCACUCCCUACAGGCCGACAUCACGUGUCAGGAUUCACACCUGAAGGAAAAGGUGGUCAAGUUAUAAGACAGCUAUAUGUAGCACAUGUACUGUGGGACUCUAUCUCCUCCUGUUCUGUGUAUGGCACUGGUAGAAUUCACUGUCACAGCACACUAUCAGUGAAUUACCAUAGGGCCAUAAACAGAGUAGAGACAGAACCAGCAGGCCUGCGCCCGGGUCCCCGUCGGCUUUACAGGUCAAACCAGCAGACAGGUGUCGUCCACAUAUUUCUCAUCUUCUUUGCCCAUUUUGGCACUAGCACAUUUUUGCUUUGUUUCUCGUUGCUUGAGCAAACAUGUGUGGUGCCAAUAUAGGACAAGACAGACACUCAGCUGCUCAUAAGUGUUCUGAAACAUAGAGAGAGGAGAGGGAGCGAUGGGAAGGAUACAAUAUGAAUCUCAUCGAUGGCAGCGUCCCUCUCAGAUAUCACUGGUUACCAUGGAGGCCCGUUCCAUCUCCCAGACGCCGUCCCGUGUAACCUGAACCCUACUUGUCACUUAGAUCUGGUGGCCGUGAUGGCAGCACUCUCCCACAGUGUUUGGCAAUGGUAGAACUCACUCUGGUGGGCUGGAAGGAUCCGGUGGUUCUAGACUUGCCAACAACUGACAGAGCUUUAACCUGCCGUCCACCAUUCCAGGAUUCGUCACAGGAUAAGGAUUACUUGUUUAGUAGUGUGUGUUAGAAGCUGUCGUUUACAUCACAAAAGGUCAUGGGGUCAAGGUGGCAGGUUUAGGGUAUGGUUGUGUGGGGCGUCUGUGGCUCAGGAGAUAGAGCAGGUUAUCCACUAGUUUGGCGAUUCAAUCCCAGCUUCUCCAGCUCGCGAUUCGAAGUGUCAAAUUAGUGUGCUGGUUUCAAAAAACUCCCCUUGACAAUAGAGAUUUUAAAUAAUUUUUGUCCUGCUGUCUCCUCCCUCAGAUGUAAGCUGUAAUGUCUCCUCCGAGGCGUCUUGGCCACACUUAGUUGAUCGUGACACCAAAGUGUAAUCUUUGACCUCAAACACUGAAGGUAUGAACCCUCGGAUUAUUUUAACUAUUGGGCCAUAACUCAAUAGUCCAUACAAAGACCAUUAGCACUGGCUUGACCAUGAUCUGCCCAUAUCAAUAAAUCCAUGGUGUUCAUGUGUUUGACUGUGAAACCAGCAGCUGAAGGCCUCUAGCAGUAAACCCUUUAGUGUUGGUGUUAGCAGCAGAAGCAACUCGCUCACUUUAUGGUGCAACCUGAUCCUGCUCCAUCACACACGCUCUGAGAGGAGGUCCUGCAGAGCCUCAUAAGUGAUGUUAGUGCUGCGUCAAACCAUUACAAACUCCACAAAUGCUUUGGAAGAAACAUCCCGAUUCACUCCUGAUGCAGCAGCAGCAUUGGCCAUGAAGUACUCUACAGAGACGUAGCUACGAGGGGCUGUGCAUUCUGGGAAUUUGAGAUGUUUUAAUGGUCUGAGGAUUAGUUUACAACAUCCAGUUACACACAAACUAAAUAUGUUGAAUUUUCUUAUUAUAAUUAUUCAGUCAAAUUUCUUAAAAUCGGUUUGCUUUAGACCUAAAACAUCAUUCAAUUGUGAACAUUUGGUUAUGGAGGUAAACAUUUUAAUCAGUUAAAUUAAUGUAGACAUGUCAGAUAAAAGAAAUACAAAUACUUUAUUUGACAUUUUAGUGAGGAAGCCAAGGUUUCCCAAGAUGCUGAAUAUUUUGUGCAUAAUUACAGUAAGAUGUGCAUAAAAUGAUGCACGAAGAUAUGCGUCUCUUGAUUUAAUGAAGUUGUAUGCUGUAAAUAUUUCUCUUAUGAUGGUUUAACUGAAGCAGGUAUAGAAUAUCUUUUCUGUGAUUUAAGUGAAACGGUGUGGAAGAAAAUAUUUAACAAAUAGAGAGACCAGGGGAAACCAAAAGGAGGGAGAAUAAGAAACACACCAGUGGCAGCACAGCGUCUGUGUUGGUUGGAUUGAUCAGCGGCUGAUACAUUUUCACCGUGUCUCAUAUAAACGCUGUGAGAGUCCAUUAUGGCCGACUGCAGAGGCUGUGAGGUUAAGUGGGGCCAGCUGACGCACAGAGAGGGAGGAGGGAGGCCGACACGCUGACAGCUGGUACGAGUGAUUAGUACCAUGUAGUGAUGCAGGGAAGGCAUCAAAGCUCUUUAGGGAGAAACACACACACACACACACACACGCCUAAUACACAACUUCUUGGUUGCUACAACUGUUAUUAAACUAAGCACACACAGGUUCAACAGUGUGUCGCUGCACAGGCCAUCUGCCUGCUGAUGCUUUGCUGGUGAUACAGGGGAAUGAGGAGUGUUAUUAGAUUAGAUGGGUGUGGAAGUCAACGGAUCUCCUCAUUCAUCUCUCACUAAUGGUUGUUUAACUGCUAUCGUCUCCACUGUUCUUUUGUUCUGUGUGAUACUCGCCUAUGUUGUAUUAAAGUUAUUUUACACAAA